AUGUUGCCAUUAAUAAAGCAUUGCCAAAGGAUCGAAGUUGCCCUUUCCAAAGAGAAUUUCCCAUCAACAAAGAAGGUUUAUUCCCAUCAAUCUUUAACAAAGAGUCUUGAAAGAAAAGGAGCAUGGAAAUUGGAAACCAUUAACACAAACACACCAUCCAUUUUCUCCACUACCCCAAGUUUUCUCAAGAAAUAUUCCAUAUGGGGUAGAGGAGUAAAAGCUAUGUUACAUGUUUGA